rnacentral:rRNA from 1 species
UUUGCGUCGAAGGUAUACCGGUAAGGAGUGCUGGAGCGAAUAGAAGUGAGCAUGCAGGCAUGAGUAGCGAUAAUUAAUGUGAGAAUCAUUAACGCCGUAAACCCAAGGUUUCCUACGCGAUGCUCGUCAUCGUAGGGUUAGUCGGGUCCUAAGUCGAGUCCGAAAGGGGUAGACGAUGGCAAAUUGGUUAAUAUUCCAAUACCAACAUUAGUGUGCGAUGGAAGGACGCUUAGGGCUAAGGGGGCUAGCGGAUGGAAGUGCUAGUCUAAGGUCGUAGGAGGUUAUACAGGCAAAUCCGUAUAACAAUACUCCGAGAACUGAAAGGCUUUUUGAAGUCUUCGGAUGGAUAGAAGAACCCCUGAUGCCGUCGAGCCAAGAAAAGUUUCUAAGUUUAGCUAAUGUUGCCCGUACCGUAAACCGACACAGGUGGGUGGGAUGAGUAUUCUAAGGCGCGUGGAAGAACUCUCUUUAAGGAACUCUGCAAAAUAGCACCGUAUCUUCGGUAUAAGGUGUGGUUAGCCUUGUAUUAGGAUUUACUCCGAAAGCAAGGAAACUUACAACAAAGAGUCCCUCCCGACUGUUUACCAAAAACACAGCACUCUGCUAACUCGUAAGAGGAUGUAUAGGGUGUGACGCCUGCCCGGUGCUCGAAGGUUAAUUGAUGGGGUUAGCAUUAGCGAAGCUCUUGAUCGAAGCCCGAGUAAACGGCGGCCGUAACUAUAACGGUCCUAAGGUAGCGAAAUUCCUUGUCGGUUAAAUACCGACCUGCAUGAAUGGCGUAACGAGAUGGGAGCUGUCUCAAAGAGGGAUCCAGUGAAAUUGUAGUGGAGGUGAAAAUUCCUCCUACCCGCGGCAAGACGGAAAGACCCCGUGGACCUUUACUACAGCUUGACACUGCUACUUGGAUAAGAAUGUGCAGGAUAGGUGGGAGGCUUUGAGUAUAUGACGCCAGUUGUAUAUGAGCCAUUGUUGAGAUACCACUCUUUCUUAUUUGGGUAGCUAACCAGCUUGAGUUAUCCUCAAGUGGGACAAUGUCUGGUGGGUAGUUUGACUGGGGCGGUCGCCUCCCAAAUAAUAACGGAGGCUUACAAAGGUUGGCUCAGAACGGUUGGAAAUCGUUCGUAGAGUAUAAAGGUAUAAGCCAGCUUAACUGCAAGACAUACAAGUCAAGCAGAGACGAAAGUCGGUCUUAGUGAUCCGGUGGUUCUGUGUGGAAGGGCCAUCGCUCAAAGGAUAAAAGGUACCCCGGGGAUAACAGGCUGAUCUCCCCCAAGAGCUCACAUCGACGGGGAGGUUUGGCACCUCGAUGUCGGCUCAUCGCAUCCUGGGGCUGGAGCAGGUCCCAAGGGUAUGGCUGUUCGCCAUUUAAAGCGGUACGCGAGCUGGGUUCAGAACGUCGUGAGACAGUUCGGUCCCUAUCUGCCGUGGGCGUAAGAAGAUUGAAGAGAUUUGACCCUAGUACGAGAGGACCGGGUUGAACAAACCACUGGUGUAGCUGUUGUUCUGCCAAGAGCAUCGCAGCGUAGCUAAGUUUGGAAAGGAUAAACGCUGAAAGCAUCUAAGCGUGAAGCCAACUCUAAGAUGAAUCUUCUCUAAGCUCUCUAGAAGACUACUAGUUUGAUAGGCUGGGUGUGUAAUGGAUGAAAGUCCUUUAGCUGACCAGUACUAAUAGAGCGUUUGGCUUAUCUUUAAUAAAGCAU